AUCAAUUUACUCCGAAGUGCUCGUUUGGCGCGCGGGCUACAAAAUCGUCGACGAAGUUCUCUUUAUGAAGCUAGAAUAGAUUAAUGCUCUCGUUUGUUCGGUAAUGGCCCCGAUAAAUUAUCUUAAUAGCUCGAGGCGGCUAUAAAUAUAUUCCACGGUUCCUGCGCUCUUACGCUUGUUUUCCUGCUACAUCGACUUCUCUCUGCGCGCCGUCGAACUGCCAUGUUUUCCGUGUCACUGAUACCACGAGGCAGUUGGGGCGGCGGCAGGGUACGGGGAUUCAACGAAAGCAGGAAAGAGAGGAAAGACCGACGAGAGGAUAAGAAAUGGAACGGGGAAAAUAACAAAAAAAGUAUAAUGGAAGUAUAAGAACGAUGCGACUCGAUGCAACAUCCUAGCGGCUGGCUGACUGGCUGGCUUGCUUGCUUGCUUUCGUGUAAACCCACGUUGCUCGCUAAUGUUCGAUAUUAUUCAAAUUUUUCUUCAACGACCUAUGGUUGGUUGGUUGCUCGGUGGUGGUGGUGGUGGUGGUGACGAUGGUGGUGGUGGUGUUUCGUAGAGUAACGAAUCGUUUUUAAUCUAAACUCGGUGAUCUUUCUCUAGGAAAUUUAUUACUUUAAGAACGUAGAACGCGUUAUUGCGUGUAACUGCACGCACGCGUUUGCCAAUAUUUAAGUGAACCUACACCUCUUCCUGCAAAUAUACUUUUGUGCUCCUUUUUUUUCUUUUUUUCAUCUACACGCCCUUUCGAAUUUUCUACUUUCUACCAAAUGUAAUAUAUUAUUAUAUACUUAUUACGUAUCUUCUCACCUGUUCGGGGAAAGAAAACCUCUUACGAAAUAUUAACGAGCGCGUAAAAAUAUCUCAAUAACGUGACACGGAGGCUGCAUAAAUUCGAUGGAAUAUUCCCAUUAUUGCAUCGGAAUGUAGACAUUAAGAGGAUUUUAAAAAAGAACGGUAAAACCUUAAGUUGAUAUACGCGCGAAGAAAAUUUCAUACCUAUCGUAAUAUUACGGAAAAAGAGAAUUCGUAUAUAAAUUCCAACCGCGAUAUAAGGUAACCUGUUACGACAGAUUAAUACGUUGGUAACGUUAAACGAUGACUGAACUAUCGGAAUGAAAAAUAAGAUAAAACGUUAAGACGUCUUAAAGGAGUGCCAAUAAAUGUUUCAAAUGAAACUCACGGAGUACCUAACUGAAAUGAAAGAGAAACCGAUACGAAGACGCGCAAAAGAGGAAAAAAGAAGAAGAGGAAGAAGAAGAAGAAGAACGGUGAGUGCACUCGAACGAAGGGGUAAGUAGGUAUUCGAUAGUCUGUAAUGUACUCAGAAACGAUGCUGAAUUUCCACGAAAGAAACCUUAUCUUGCAAGUACAGAUAGCAGCCAAUAACGACAACGGCGUUAAGAAGGAGAAGAAAAGAAAAAGGAAAAGAAUACAACGAGACGACGCAAACGCAAAAAGUUACAUGUGUUAGCCAGCACACCCCGACUAACAGUGCAAGAUGGCUUAUUCCAAUGAGAAUAUAUGAAACAACACGAAGGGAAACAAGCGAUGAUACUCACAGUCUUUCGCCGACUACACCAUAAAAUACGCCAUAAAAGGAAAGAAGAGAAGAAAAGAGCCGGACAAAGGUGAAAAGACGAAUUUAAAAGAGUGAACGCAGAGAGCGUCCUUUUCGCGAAUCUGUGCGUGCACCUAUCCGAAAUAAACCAAUCGAAAAUUUUCGACUAUUUUCACAACUAUUUUUUCGUUUUUAAUAUUGAGUUAAAGGAAAAAUCUUGCGAGUGGAAAUAUUUUCCACUUCACCGAUCAUAAAUUCAACCGCAAAUCGUUUCCGCGAUUUCAUUCGUUCCAUCGUUCAAACAUUUUUAAAUAUUUAAGCACCGAAGACACUUUUCUACUACAUUAUUUAAUGACAUAAAAAAAUUCGCUAGCGAAUUGAGAGAAUGAUCAUAGUUAGAUAAAAAUAAUAGAUUUUAAGAAAGUCACUUAAAUAAUUGUGCAAACGUAAUGGAUUUAAACCAAUCGACGUAAUUUAUUUUAAUCGAAUCACUUGAUCCCGUGUAAUUUAUGUGACACCGGCGAAUUUGUAGAAUUCGAAUAGAAAUAUCGCGUGCUAAAAUAUGUGAAAUAUGUAUUUCCUUGAAAACAAUUUCUAUAUAACGAACUAAAGUAUGUAUACGUGAAUUCUAAAAACAACUAUUUCACGCAUAUCCUCGAAUUUUAUCUCGCAUCUUUUUUAAAUUAUAUUUUUACUUUCGCGUAAUUUCACCGGGACUUUGCCGGUUACGUUACUCUAACUCGCGAGUCAUUACCAGCGCGUCAUAAACAUCGAAAUGCGUUUCGAAUGGUGAGGCGAGGAAGAGAACGCGAUAUAGAAAUGUAACGCAUAUGUGGUAGAUCUUUUGAAACGACAUCGAAUGAAAGGAUAGGUAAAAUAGAAAGAUAUGAGAAUAAAUAUAUACAUGUCGUUGUAAA
rnacentral:lncRNA from 1 species